rnacentral:lncRNA from 1 species
UGCUCCCAGAGGCUGCGCCCUGGGACACCGCUUCUAGAGAGGAGUGGUUCACACAGGCGCACGGGGUGGGGACAGACCUAGCAUCGGAGCCAGACCCCGUCACCGCACGGGCCUGAGAAACCAGCGAGGCUCGUUACAAGGCCAGGCGCCUGUGAGUCACACUUUGCUGCUCCUGUUUGAGUUCUCAGAUAUCUAAGAGUAGUCGUUAGGUAAAUACACAUCGACAUGCUCCUUCUCUAGCCACUUCCGCACCAUGUGCCCAUGGCAACCAGGAAGGCAGCGGAGAGGCCCUGGGGCGAUGAGGGGAGCUGCCGUAGAGACACAAUCCGCGCUGUCAUCACUAAGAAACAAUUUUCACAAAACUGCAAAAGGUCAGGAGAAACAUGGGGGCCAGCACCCCGGUUCCAGCAAGUGUGGAAAUCACCGCAGGAAAAGCCUGCCACGUUCUGGGGUAGACCGAAGGCACCUGCAGAGCAGAGCGGCACUGCUGGGACACCCAGCCACCUCCCUCCUCCCCAGGCACUGUGUACUCCAGCUCCACAGCCCCUGAGCUACACCCAGGGCUUUCUUGGGCAAGAAGGUCAAAUGCUAAGCCUGCCAGGCACAUCACCACGGCCCUGCGGAGAGACAGCUCCACUUCCUGCCAGCCCAUCCUCCAGUGGUGCUUCUAUUCCACUGCAGUGUGUAGUCAUGGAGAUUUCGUCGGCACAAGAGACGCUCUUCCCAUUAUACACAUUUUUAAAGUUCACAAAUAUCCCAAGAAAUGAAUGAAAUCACAGACACUGGUCUGUUGGUAAGUUUUCACACUUGCUAAUUUUUUCUCAUUUCUCCAGUGCACUGAAAUACAGAGAGAAGCCUCAAAAGCAGACAAAGCCUGCCUUUUUUUCCAUCACGCGGAAUACUUGAUGCUCAGAAAGCUUGGCUGUUGCCUUGAUAUAGUCAGACACGGGGCUGUCCCUAAACCUACAAAAUGCACCACUUCUUAAACGGAUGCCUGGAAGUGCUGAAUAUCUGAUUUUAGCCUGUUAAAUAUCUCUGCACAAAAAGCAACAUUAUAUUCUCUGCUGCACCCUGAGGAACAUCUGCAGCUCCCAGAACUCAGUCUGCCUUGGUCUACAUUACUGUUUUCACUGCAGUCCUGCUUUUCUUUCUAGGAAGGAUGCCAAACUUGAUCUACCAACCCCUGUAGAUGAAAGCUGCAUUUGUUUCUGUCAUUGCUAUUGAUUAAUAUAUUUGUAGGAUAGUCCUGCCUACUGAGAUGAUGGUUCAAAGCAUAUGUGUGUGUUUAAUUUCAAUACAAAGACCCAAUUCCUUCCCUAAAAGGCUG